rnacentral:rRNA from 1 species
CCUACGGGAGGCAGCAGUGGGGAAUUUUGGACAAUGGGCGCAAGCCUGAUCCAGCAAUGCCGCGUGCAGGAUGAAGGCCUUCGGGUUGUAAACUGCUUUUGUACGGAACGAAAAAGUCUGCCCUAAUACGGUGGGCCCAUGACGGUACCGUAAGAAUAAGCACCGGCUAACUACGUGCCAGCAGCCGCGGUAAUACGUAGGGUGCGAGCGUUAAUCGGAAUUACUGGGCGUAAAGCGUGCGCAGGCGGUUAUAUAAGACAGAUGUGAAAUCCCCGGGCUCAACCUGGGACCUGCAUUUGUGACUGUAUAGCUAGAGUACGGUAGAGGGGGAUGGAAUUCCGCGUGUAGCAGUGAAAUGCGUAGAUAUGCGGAGGAACACCGAUGGCGAAGGCAAUCCCCUGGACCUGUACUGACGCUCAUGCACGAAAGCGUGGGGAGCAAACAGGAUUAGAUACCCUGGUAGUCCACGCCCUAAACGAUGUCAACUGGUUGUUGGGUCUUCACUGACUCAGUAACGAAGCUAACGCGUGAAGUUGACCGCCUGGGGAGGUACGGCCGCGAGUAGAACGUACGAAAGUAGAAGUUAGUACGGCGUGAGACGUAGACCGACGGACGACGACGAGGGAGGGAGGG